GACAGAGAGGCAGCAGUAUCGGAUCGAUUGGUGCGUAAAGAGCUCGUAGGCGGUUUGUCGCGUCUGCUGUGAAAACGCGAGGCUCAACCUCGCGCCUGCAGUGGGUACGGGCAGACUAGAGUGCGGUAGGGGAGAUUGGAAUUCCUGGUGUAGCGGUGAAAUGCGCAGAUAUCAGGAGGAACACCGGUGGCGAAGGCGGGUCUCUGGGCCGAUACUGACGUGGAGGAGCGAAAGCGUGGGGAGCGAACAGG
rnacentral:rRNA from 1 species